AUUCUUGCCCUUGUGGCAGUAUCGUAGCCAAUGAGGUUUAUCCGAGGCGCGAUUAUUGCUAAUUGAUUCUUGCCCUUUUUUUUGCUUCCAUAUAUUUAUAUGUAACUAUCACAGAGAAGAACACUUUGUGAGGA